rnacentral:rRNA from 1 species
AUUGAACGCUGGCGGCAGGCUUAACACAUGCAAGUCGGGCGAGUGGCGGACGGGUGAGUAAUGUAUGAGGAACUGCCUGUUGGAGGGGGAUCACCAGUGGGAAAGGUAUCCAAUACCGGAUACCAUCAGAUGAACCCAUAUGGGAUUAGCUUGUCGGUGAGGUAACGGCUUACCUAGGCGACUACCCCUAGCUGGUCUGAGAGGAUGAUCAGCCAAACUGGGACUGAGACACGGCCCAGACUCCUACGGGAGGCAGCAGUGGGGAAUAUUGCACAAUGGGCGAAAGCCUGAUGCAGCCAUGCCGCGUGUAUGAAGAAGGCCUUCGGGUUGUAAAGUACGUUCAGUCGGGAGGCGUUACCGACAGAAGAAGCACCGGCUAACUCCGUGCCAGCAGCCGCGGUAAUUC